rnacentral:rRNA from 1 species
GGGUUGUGAGGUUAAGCGACUAAGCGUACACGGUGGAUGCCCUGGCAGUCAGAGGCGAUGAAGGACGUGCUAAUCUGCGAUAAGCGUCGGUAAGGUGAUAUGAACCGUUAUAACCGGCGAUUUCCGAAUGGGGAAACCCAGUGUGAUUCGUCACACUAUCGUUAACUGAAUACAUAGGUUAACGAAGCGAACCGGGGGAACUGAAACAUCUAAGUACCCCGAGGAAAAGAAAUCAACCGAGAUUCCCCCAGUAGCGGCGAGCGAACGGGGAGGAGCCCAGAGCCUGAAUCAGCAUGUGUGUUAGUGGAAGCGUCUGGAAAGGCGCGCGAUACAGGGUGACAGCCCCGUACACAAAAGCGCAUGUGCUGUGAGCUCGAUGAGUAGGGCGGGACACGUGGUAUCCUGUCUGAAUAUGGGGGGACCAUCCUCCAAGGCUAAAUACUCCUGACUGACCGAUAGUGAACCAGUACCGUGAGGGAAAGGCGAAAAGAACCCCGGCGAGGGGAGUGAAAAAGAACCUGAAACCGUGUACGUACAAGCAGUGGGAGCCCCACCACCAAAGCAUUCUCUGGUGUUGAAGGCCCUGCAAAGCAGCAUCGCGGUGGCGGAGCGUCGUUUGCGACGCCCAACACACAAAACAAGCGGUGAGUGCUUUGGGGUGGGGUGACUGCGUACCUUUUGUAUAAUGGGUCAGCGACUUAUAUUCUGUAGCAAGGUUAACCGUAUAGGGGAGCCGAAGGGAAACCGAGUCUUAACUGGGCGUUAAGUUGCAGGGUAUAGACCCGAAACCCGGUGAUCUAGCCAUGGGCAGGUUGAAGGUUGGGUAACACUAACUGGAGGACCGAACCGACUAAUGUUGAAAAAUUAGCGGAUGACUUGUGGCUGGGGGUGAAAGGCCAAUCAAACCGGGAGAUAGCUGGUUCUCCCCGAAAGCUAUUUAGGUAGCGCCUCGUGAACUCAUCUUCGGGGGUAGAGCACUGUUUCGGCUAGGGGGUCAUCCCGACUUACCAACCCGAUGCAAACUGCGAAUACCGAAGAAUGUUAUCACGGGAGACACACGGCGGGUGCUAACGUCCGUCGUGAAGAGGGAAACAACCCAGACCGCCAGCUAAGGUCCCAAAGUCACAGUUAAGUGGGAAACGAUGUGGGAAGGCUCAGACAGCCAGGAUGUUGGCUUAGAAGCAGCCAUCAUUUAAAGAAAGCGUAAUAGCUCACUGGUCGAGUCGGCCUGCGCGGAAGAUGUAACGGGGCUAAACUGUGCACCGAAGCUGCGGCAGCGACGCUUAUGCGUUGUUGGGUAGGGGAGCGUUCUGUAAGCCUGCGAAGGUGUCCUGUGAGGGAUGCUGGAGGUAUCAGAAGUGCGAAUGCUGACAUAAGUAACGAUAAUGCGGGUGAAAAGCCCGCUCGCCGGAAGACCAAGGGUUCCUGUCCAACGUUAAUCGGGGCAGGGUGAGUCGACCCCUAAGGCGAGGCCGAAAGGCGUAGUCGAUGGGAAACGGGUUAAUAUUCCCGUACUUGGUGUUACUGCGAAGGGGGGACGGAGAAGGCUAUGUUGGCCGGGCGACGGUUGUCCCGGUUUAAGCGUGUAGGCUGGUUUUCCAGGCAAAUCCG